GGGCCUACGGGGCGCAGCAGUGGGGGAUAUUGCGCAAUGGGGGGAACCCUGAUGCAGCGACGCCGCGUGGGUGAAGGAGCGUUUCGGCGCGUAAAUCCCUAUCGGCAGGGAAGAAGAUGACGGUACCUGACCAAGAAGCCCCGGCUAACUACGUGCCAGCAGCCGCGGUAAUACGUAGGGGGCAAGCGUUAUCCGGAUUUACUGGGUGUAAAGGGAGCGUAGACGGCGAGGCAAGCCUGAAG
rnacentral:rRNA from 1 species